rnacentral:rRNA from 1 species
AUACGUAGGGGGCGAGCGUUGUCCGGAAUGAUUGGGCGUAAAGGGCGCGUAGGCGGCCCGGUAAGUCUGGAGUGAAAGUCCUGCUUUUAAGGUGGGAAUUGCUUUGGAUACUGUCGGGCUUGAGUGCAGGAGAGGUAAGUGGAAUUCCCAGUGUAGCGGUGAAAUGCGUAGAGAUUGGGAGGAACACCAGUGGCGAAGGCGACUUACUGGACUGUAACUGACGCUGAGGCGCGAAAGCCAGGGGAGCGAACGGGAUUAGAUACCCCGGUAGUCCUGGCCGUAAACGAUGAAUACUAGGUGUAGGGGGUAUCGACUCCCUCUGUGCCGCAGUUAACACAAUAAGUAUUCCGCCUGGGGAGUACGGCCGCAAGGUUGAAACUUAAAGGAAUUGACGGGG